CCUACGGGGGGCUGCAGUGAGGAAUAUUGGUCAAUGGACGAGAGUCUGAAUCAGCCAAGUAGCGUGAGGGAUGACUGCCCUACGGGUUGUAAACUGCUUUUAUAUGGGAAUAAAAUGUUCCACGUGUGGGAGUUUGUAUGUACCAUAUGAAUAAGGAUCGGCUAACUCCGUGCCAGCAGCCGCGGUAAUACGGAGGGUCCGAGCGUUAUCCGGAUUUAUUGGGUUUAAAGGGAGCGUAGGUGGAUUGUUAAGUCAGUUGUGAAAGUUUGCGGCUCAACCGUAAAAUCGCAGUUGAAACUGGCAGUCUUGAGUACAGUAGAGGUGGGCGGAAUUCGUGGUGUAGCGGUGAAAUGCUUAGAUAUCACGAAGAACUCCGAUUGCGAAGGCAGCUCACCGGACUGCAACUGACACUGAGGCUCGAAAGUGCGGGUAUCAAACAGGAUUAGAUACCCUGGUAGUC
rnacentral:rRNA from 1 species